AGAGUUUGAUCCUGGCUCAGGAUGAACGCUAGCGGCAGGCUUAAUACAUGCAAGUCAAGGGGCCAGCAAUGGCACCGGCGGACGGGUGAGUAACGCGUACACAACGUACCUUUAACUGGGGGAUAGCAUCUGGAAACGGGUGGUAAUACCGCAUGUGGUUGCGGGGAGGCAUCUCCUUGUAACUAAAACUUUGGUGGUUAGAGAUCGGUGUGCGUCUGAUUAGCUAGUUGGUAGGGUAGAGGCCUACCAAGGCGACGAUCAGUAGGGGGCGUGAGAGCGUGAACCCCCACACGGGUACUGAGACACGGACCCGACUCCUACGGGAGGCAGCAGUAAGGAAUAUUGGUCAAUGGAGGGAACUCUGAACCAGCCAUGCCGCGUGAAGGAAGAAGGCGCUACGCGUUGUAAACUUCUUUUGGGUGGGACGAAAAUAAUCCAUUUAUGGAUAGCUGACGGUACCAUCAGAAUAAGCACCGGCUAACUCCGUGCCAGCAGCCGCGGUAAUACGGAGGGUGCAAGCGUUAAUCGGAAUUACUGGGCGUAAAGCGUGCGCAGGCGGUUAUGUAAGACAGAGGUGAAAUCCCCGGGCUCAACCUGAGAACUGCCUUUGUGACUGCAUAGCUGGAGUGCGGCAGAAGGGGGGAUGGAAUUCCGCGUGUAGCAGUGAAAUGCGUAGAUAUGCGGAGGAACACCGAUGGCGAAGGCAAUCCCCUGCGCCCUGCACUGACGCUCAUGCACGAAAGCGUGGAGAGCAACAGGAUUACAUACCCCUGUAGUCCACGCCCUAACGAUGUCAGCUUGGGUUGGUGGCGUCUUCACUGACUCAGUAACGAGCUAACGCGUGAAGUCGACCGCUGGAGGAAGUACGGCGGCAAGGUUAUACUUCAGAUGUAUGACGGGCACCGCCAAGCGUAGAUGAUGUGAUUUAGUCGAAUGCACGCAGAUAUAUAUGU
rnacentral:rRNA from 1 species